ensembl:ncRNA C02D4.5 ncRNA
GGUGUACAUGCCUGUAUUUAGGCAAUUGAACGAUUGCGAAAUGAGAGCGGCGUCGGAGAGAAAGAAAGAGCUUCGAGAUGUGCGUGUUAGCGGUGUGUGUUUCUUUUUCUGUGUUGUGAGA